GGGCCUGUAGCUCAGCUGGGAGAGCGCCUGCAUGGCAUGCAGGAGGUCGUCGGUUCGAUCCCGAUCAGGUCCACCA
rnacentral:tRNA from 1 species